rnacentral:lncRNA from 1 species
GGAAAACAGUGUCUGUCCCCAUGGAAAGAAGAAGGGCAGCUGGCAGGGCCACUUCUGCUGCAAAGGUGAAGAAUUUGGGGAAGAGGAAGCCUGAAGGAGUCCAUAAAACAAUGUCCUUCAAAUCAGAGUUUAUUCAAUGCUGAUUUUUCAUUUUUCUAUGGUUCUGUUUGGCUGGAGACAUUGGACGUGCUCUAUAGAAAAUAAUUUCUAAACAAUAAAGAAUAUUAUAAUAAAC